rnacentral:rRNA from 1 species
AAAGAAACCAACAGGGAUUGCCCUAGUAACGGCGAGUGAAGCGGCAACAGCUCAAAUUUGAAAUCUGGCCCCCGGGUCCGAGUUGUAAUUUGUAGAGGAUGCUUUUGGUGCGGUACCUUCCGAGUUCCCUGGAACGGGACGCCAUAGAGGGUGAGAGCCCCGUCUGGUUGGACGCCAAUCCUUUGUAAAGCUCCUUCAACGAGUCGAGUAGUUUGGGAAUGCUGCUCUAAAUGGGAGGUAUAUGUCUUCUAAAGCUAAAUAUUGGCCAGAGACCGAUAGCGCACAAGUAGAGUGAUCGAAAGAUGAAAAGCACUUUGAAAAGAGAGUUAAAAAGUACGUGAAAUUGUUGAAAGGGAAGCGCUCAUGACCAGACUUGGGCUUGGUUGAUCAUCCAGGGUUCUCCCUGGUGCACUCUUCCGGCCCAGGCCAGCAUCAGUUCGCUGUGGGGGAUAAAGGCUUCGGGAAUGUGGCUCCCUCGGGAGUGUUAUAGCCCGUUGUGUAAUACCCUGUGGUGGACUGAGGUUCGCGCAUUCGCAAGGAUGCUGGCGUAAUGGUCAUCAGCGACCCGUCUUGAAACACGGACCAAGGAGUCGUCUUCGUAUGCGAGUGUUCGGGUGUCAAACCCCUACGCGUAAUGAAAGUGAACGCAGGUGAGAGCUUCGGCGCAUCAUCGACCGAUCCUGAUGUUCUCGGAUGGAUUUGAGUAAGAGCAUACGGGGCCGGACCCGAAAGAAGGUGAACUAUGCCUGUAUAGGGUGAAGCCAGAGGAAACUCUGGUGGAGGCUCGCAGCGGUUCUGACGUGCAAAUCGAUCGUCAAAUAUGGGCAUGGGGGCGAAAGACUAAUCGAACCUUCUAGUAGCUGGUUUCCGCCGAAGUUUCCCUCAGGAUAGCAGUGUUGAUCUCAGUUUUAUGAGGUAAAGCGAAUGAUUAGGGACUCGGGGGCGCUAUUUAGCCUCCAUCCAUUCUCAAACUUUAAAUAUGUAAGAAGCCCUUGUUACUUAGUUGAACGUGGGCAUUCGAAUGUACCAAC